GUAAGCUGACAAGUCUCAAAUGGGACGAAACGCGCGUCCUGGAU
rnacentral:hammerhead_ribozyme from 1 species